rnacentral:rRNA from 1 species
UAUGCUUAACACAUGCAAGUCGAACGGACUCAGGGAGCUUGCUCCCGAAAGUUAGUGGCAGACGGGUGAGUAACGCGUGGGAAUCUGCCUAUCAGUACGGGAUAACAUUUGGAAACAAAUGCUAAUACCGCAUACGCUCUUCGGAGGAAAGAUUUAUCGCUGAUAGAUGAGCCCGCGUAAGAUUAGGUAGUUGGUAGGGUAAUGGCCUACCAAGCCGACGAUCUUUAGCUGGUCUGAGAGGAUGAUCAGCCACACUGGGACUGAGACAGGGCCCAGACUCCUACGGGAGGCAGCAGUGGGGAAUAUUGGACAAUGGGCGAAAGCCUGAUCCAGCAAUACCGCGUGAGUGAUGAAGGCCUUAGGGUUGUAAAGCUCUUUCAGUUGGAAAGAUAAUGACGGUACCAACAGAAGAAGCACCGGCUAACUACGUGCCAGCCGCCGCCGUAA